GGGAGGGCAGCCAGACUCGGCCAAGUUCAGGGUGAGAGUGUCCACCGGGGAAGUCUGCGGGGCUGGCACUUGGGACAAAGUGUCUGUCACAGUCGUGGGGUCCCAGGGAGAAAGACCCCCACUGCCCUUGGACCACCAGGGCAAGGAGUUCACCGCAGGCGCUGAGGAGGACUUCAAGGCGACUCUCCCGGAGGACUUGGGCCCAGUGCUGCUGCGUGCGCAAGGCGCCCCCGCCGCUGCUCCGCCCCGCUCAGGGCCCCUGCUUCUGCUGCUGGUUGGCCUCCCCUGUGAUGAGUGGCUGGAGGGGGCACGGACCCUGGUGCAGCGGGAGGGUGCAGCCAAGGUCUCCUGGGCAGACCACCACCCCGUGCUGGAGCACCAGCGCCAGGAGGAGCUGCAGGCCGAGCAAAACAUGUACCGGUGAGGAGGGGGCUGAUGGGGCCCAUUAGAGGAUGACAGGCAGCCUGGGACCUCUGGAACAACACAGACUAAAAGCCCUGUGUGGUCCCCUCCUACGAAAUGGUGUUUCUGGGACCCGUACCCUCCACAUCACCCAGGGAACUGCUAGGGAUGCCAGUUCUCAGGCUUCUCAAACCUACUGACUCAGACUUUGGAGGAGGGUAGCAAUCUUUAUUUUAACAAGUCUUUCACAUGACUGGUUGCCUAUUAAGUUUGGAAACCACUGCUCUGAAUGCCGCACUCCUCCUUACUAUGGGGAUUUUUCACACAUCAGCUUGUUGUGUCAUUCCAGAAAUGUGGACAGAACCAGAAAUACACCACUUAGUCCCCAGGAAGCCCACCUUCCAGGGCAGGCAGGUAGUGAGAAGGGGCUCUUUCUCUGCUCUGGGCUCAGCAUUUGGGGUCACAGAGGGGAGCUAGCCUGAGAGGCUGUGCUGGCAAAGGAAGGAAUUGUGAAUGAUCUGGGGCCAUGGGUGAGGGUUCCUGAGGCAAAAAACCAGAAACUACACUGAGGUGAGGAUUUUCAAGACCUUGAUCCUGGUCUUGGCUGCUGUCUGAAGCUUGGGAUGCAGGCUCUUGCUGCACGUACCUGAGGAUGAGGCAGCCACAGGCUUUAUUUGGUUCCUGGUGAUUCUACAUGUGUCAUGAAUUACACCCCUGAGAAAGCCAUUCCAUUAAAUCUCACAGCAACAUCUCCAGGAGAGGGGACAGAUAUUGAUGUCUGUGGUGUCUGUGGCAACCCAGGACCAGUGUAAAAGAAACUAUGAGAUCUUAGGAAAGUCAUUAAUUUUUUUGAUCUUUACUUCCUUUUACAAAAUAUCUCAAGAAUACCAGCCUCCUUAGGGUUAUUGGGUGGAACAAAUGAGAAAAUAGUUAAGAAUGCAGCGGAUCAACUGCCAAUCCCUGCGCAAGUAUGUUCAGUUAGUUCUGUUCUGUCUCCAGUUCACUCUGUUCUCACGUCUAGGCCUUGGACAGCUACUAAUGUGGUCCCACAAGAUUGUAAACUUUUUUUCUCUCCUUUUUUUUUCUCUUCAGUAUUAGGGAUUGAACUCAGGCCCUUGCACUUGCCAGGCAGGCACAGCACCGCUGAGCUACAUCCCUGGCCCAAGAUUGUAAACUUUUAACAUUAUUGUGUGAUUUUUUUAGCGACACUAUUCAUGACUUGAUUGUCCAUUGCUGGAGUGUAGAUUAUAAGUAAAAUGCAGAGAUUACCAGUAAUAGUAUUGCAACCUACCUAAACUAUGUGCCUGUGGAAAGAGGUGUCUGUUAAGAAAACAUGUAAGUUUUCAUAUUUCAUUAUUAAACUUGGGCUUCUUUUAUUUCAUAGAAUAAUUUAAUAAGUUAAAAUAUUAAAAAUAAAUGAAGUUUUGUUACUUAUAUAUAUCAACUAUAUUACAUAUUUUAUAUGCAGCUCAAGACAAUUCUUCACUCAGUGUGGCCCAGACAAGCCAUAAGGUUGGAUAUCCAUAGUCUGGAUCCUUACUACCACAGCAUACUCAUCCCUCAGGAGCAAGUGAGAAAAUGCAAGCUCUUGGGCCCAUCCCAGACCUUAUAAGUCAGAAUCUGCAGUUUAUCAAGAUCCCCAGUUACUCAUACAUGCUGUAAAAUUCGAGAGCUGGAAGACCUACCUCCCAGGCUGGCCUCAACUGUCUGGAUGAGGAGACUGUGAAAGAUCUGGACCUCAAUGUCAAGUACUCUG
ensembl:lncRNA